rnacentral:rRNA from 1 species
GCAAGCUAUCACUUCUAGAGCGGUCCGCGGCCUAUCAGCUAGUUGGCGAGGUAAUGGCUCACCAAGGCGAAGACGGGUAGCUGGUCUAAGAGGAUGGUCAGCCACACUGGGACUGAGACACGGCCCAGAGUCCUACGGGAUGCAGCAGUCAGGAAUAUUGCGCAAUGGAGGAAACUCUGACGCAGCGACGCCGCGUGGGUGAUGAAGGCCUUCGGGUCGUAAAGCCCUGUCGGAAGGGAAGAAAAGCUUGUUGGCUAAUAUCCAGCGAGCCUUUGACGGUACCUUCAAAGGAAGCACCGGCUAACUCCGUGCCAGCAGCCGCGGUAAGACGGAGGGUGCAAGCGUUGUUCGGAUUGACUGGGCGUAAAGGGCGUGUAGGCGGUUCGUUAAGUCGGGUGUGAAAGCCCGGGGCUCAGCUCCGGAAGUGCGCCCGAAACUGGCGAGCUGGAGCGCGGUAGAGGAGGGUGGAAUUCCUGGUGUAGCGGUGAAAUGCGUAGAUAUCAGGAGGAACACCGGCGGCGAAGGCGGCCCUCUGGACCGUUGCUGACG